rnacentral:rRNA from 1 species
UACGUAGGGGGCGAGCGUUGUCCGGAGUUACUGGGCGUAAAGCGCUUGUAGGCGGUCCACCAAGUUUGGGGUGACAGUUGCCGACUUAAUCGGCAAAGUGCCUCAAAGACUGGCGGACUUGAGGGCCACAGAGGGACAUGGAACUCCAGGUGUAGUGGUGAAAUGCGUAGACAUCUGGAAGAACACCAAAGGCGAAGGCAGUGUCCUGGGUGGUCGCUGACGCUGAGAGGCGAAAGCCAGGGGAGCGAACGGG